rnacentral:tRNA from 1 species
AGUCAUCUGGUGUAGAGGUAACAUUCCUCCCUAUCACGGAGGAGAUCCGAGUUCAAGUCUUCGGGGUGACU